AAGAUUGGAGCCAUUUUCGCCGGGCCCCGGCAGUAGUGAGCAGGCUAGAGGGAGCCCCUUCACACUCAUGUUUUUUCUCUUCUCCCUCCCGGCCAUUUUUUUCUUUCUCAGCCGAAGCCACCGGACUGCUCCCCCUUGGUUUUUGAUUUGCUCUCUCAGCCCCCAAUCAAUCUGAUUUUCCCCUUACAAAUCAACCUCACGGCCUCCCUUCUCCUCCAACAAAAAGGAACCGAACAGCCCCCGCUCACUGCACCCUCUCUCUCCUUCUCAAGAACAGCCGCUGCCCCCCCACACGAAUUUAUUUUUUUUCCUCCCCCACAGAAACACAGCCGCCGGACGCCCCCCACCAUUUGUGAUUUUUGUUUAUUUUCUUCUUCUAUUUCCCUCAACCGACUCUUCCCCCACACUGCACCUCCAAUCAACAGCCCCCUCACAGCUCCUCUCUCGAUUCCACUUUCUCCCCAACGCAACCCAUCUCCUGCAGCCUUUUCUUCCUCUGUUUUUUCCCCAAAACCGUUCCCCUGCUUUGUGAUUUUUGCUCCAAAAGCCAGCCGGUUGCGCCCCUCCUCUAGUCGGCGUUCUUCCUCGCGACCAAGGGAACACCGCCGCCCACAGACCAGUCACCAGCAACUCCGGUCUUCGCCAGCACUCCUCCCCGUCGCCAGCUUAGCCACACCUCGAGACAAGCUCCCCUUCCUACAGCAACCUCGCCGCCACCGAUCUCCAACCAACCCGCCAGCAGCAACACCCCCACAGCUCCUCCUCCACGACGAUCUACCACCGGAGACGAAGAAGAAACCCAUAACAGACCGAUCUGGGGAAAGAAGUUAGAACCGAAACUGAGAAGAAGAAAAACCGAAGCAGCUGUGCAAAACGAAAAAACAAAAAUUAAAAUCGACUGUGUUGUGUUUUUUCUGUUAUUGUAGGUAACGGCGGUCCUCACCGCCGGCGUUGGGAGGCUGAGAAGAGGGAGUCGAUCCAGCCCCUUGCUGUUGGGUUUUCUUACGGCGGCGCGUGGGUCCACGCGCCGCCAGUGGCGGUAGUGCGGCGGCGCGUGGGUCCACGCGCCUGAACUGUUCACGCAGCCCCCAGGAGUCCUUCCCUGCAAUUUCUGGAGUUUUUAGGGACCAUUUUGUAAAUUUUAAAGUUUUAAUGUAAUUUUUGUUUAUUUAUUUUAAAUUUGUAAUAUGUGAAUGUAAAAGAAAAAAGAAGAAAAAUAAUUAAUAAAAAAGAGAUGUGUGCUUGUUUGUAUUUUUAUUUAUGUUAUUAAAUUGUAAAAAUAAAAGAAGGACAAAAAGAAUUAAUUGUUAAUUUAAAUAUGGUUAAAUAUCUUAAGGACAAAUAAAAUCAAGUUGUAUUUUCC
rnacentral:lncRNA from 1 species